rnacentral:rRNA from 1 species
UAGGGAAUAUUGGACAAUGGGGGCAACCCUGAUCCAGCCAUGCCGCGUGAGUGAAGAAGGCCCUCGGGUUGUAAAGCUCUUUUGUCCGGAAAGAAAAGCUUCGGGUUAAUACCCCGGGGUUCUGACGGUACCGGAAGAAUAAGCACCGGCUAACUUCGUGCCAGCAGCCGCGGUAAUACGAAGGGUGCAAGCGUUACUCGAAAUUACUGGGCGUAAAGCGUGCGUAGGUGGUUGUUUAAGUCUGAUGUGAAAGCCCUGGGCUCAACCUGGGAAUGGCAUUGGAAACUGGGCAGCUAGAGUGCGGUAGAGGGUAGUGGAAUUCCCGGUGUAGCAGUGAAAUGCGUAGAGAUCGGGAGGAACAUCUGUGGCGAAGGCGACUGCCUGGACCAGCACUGACACUGAGGCACGAAAGCGUGGGGAGCAAACA